UUAAGGUGAUGCUUGGAAACGUUCCAACGCGUCAUUUUUAUUCUCCCUACGCAACAAAGACAACCUUGCUCCAUUUAUUGCCAACAUCAAGCGAGGUCAGGAGAAGUAUGCAAUCUGCUGUUCGUUUGGUUAUGGACCACGCUUUGGUGGAGGUCAUGAUCUGUACAUUUGUAACAAUCCUCAAGUUAAUCAAUCAUCCAGCAAUUUUGGACAAACAUAUCAACUUCCGCCUGGUUAUGUCUAUAACAGUGAACAAGCAAAUAACCUUCUUGCUGGUCAGUACCAAUUCUUAACGACAGAAAUCGAAGUCUUCAACUGAAAACUGCCUUUGUUUACUUAGUUCAAUUCGAAAAAUAACAUUACAUUGAUUACGACCGCUCUUAGCAAUCACUUUUGGACAGUGAUUUUGCAAUACUAUAAAGUAUUAAGAAUUAAUAUGAAUAUAAAGUAUUAAGAAUUAAUAUGAAUAUUCUGAGUCAUGCACUGUAGGAAUUUUAAAAAUUAAAAUUGGUCGUUUGUUUCAACAGUACGUAGCAGUUACUGGAGUCAACACAUGAAAGGCCUCGAAGAAAACGUGUGAAAAACCGAUUGUUAUACAGCCGACGGUAAUCAAUUAUCUAAUCAGCAUAUAGCCUAGGUAAAUGUUCGAAAAUUGGAAGAGCAUUUAAUUUUCGAUCGACCACUUGAAAUCGGAUUGCAUCUGACCAUUUUUCAUCGCAAUGUCAUAAGAACGGUGGCAUUUGGCAGCUAAAAGCCUAUCUUUAUUAGUGUGCGAAAAGUAAAUCCAUAAACUUAGUAUCUAUAACGCACGAUAACAUGCUGAAAUUGUUUUGCCUUUUUUGAUACACCCUGCACUAUACAUGUUGAAGGGUUUUCGAGAUUUCCAUCUACAAAAAUUUCAAAAAACCAUUCAACAUUUAAUACUGACUCAGAUGCCUGAAUUCCUGAUAUUUACCCAUAUACAUUACAUUGUCAUCACGUAGUAUGUACUGUAUACAUGAACUUGUGGUUGAAACUCGACAAAUGGUUCUGUAGCACAGUUGGUUAGAGCGCUGCACCGGAAUCGCAGGGUCGUAGGUUUGAUUCCUGCCAGAGAGCCUAUAUAGUUGCAUUUUUUGCAGCUGCUCCUGGUUUGGUGUAUCAACGUAUAAAAUUUACACUCGAGAUUUCCAUCUACAAAAACCCUUCAACAUUUAGUAUCGAGUCAGGUGUCCAUGCACAAUCCUCAUUAUAUACGUACCUUUUUUCCUUGAUCAUGAUAUAGUCGUAAUCAAUGACUUGUAAGCUUUUUCAGUAAUUCUUGUAUAUGUACAUAUUCAAUGUAUCAUGAACAUGGCCGCCGAGAGGUUCAACGCUGAGCCCGGGCCAAAACUUUUCAAGGACCCGCUAUGAUAUCAUAAUUGUAAAAGGGGAGAAGCGUGUUUUACAAUAUAUCACAAUUUAUUACAUUUUCGUCUGACACCAGCCUCGUACCCAGGCGCUAUGUGUUGUUCUAUGGCUUGCGCGGCCUUUGCGUGGGCCGCGUCGAUUAAUUUGAUCGAUUUUCCGUUUUUCUCCCUCGCGUGCCGUCGCACGUGCGCUUAAAAUGACGUAAACAAAACCAAAGCGCCUGGGUACGAGGCAGGUCUGACACUUCGUUGCUUUGGGGGCCUCUUUUGAUUUUGGGGCUCGGGGGCCCCCAACCCCUUUCGGCGGCCCUGAUUAUAAACUAUUGCUUUGAACUGAUUUAUGCUAUACAGAUCGUGUAAAUAUUUUACAAGGAAUCAAAUUUCAAAAACCCAAUGGUUCCUAGUAGGCUCCUAGACCUUUAUGUUAGAUUACUUUAAUUAAAUCAUAAUGAUUCUUAUUAAAUAUUGUAAUUGCCGAAAUAAAUGAAUAAUCGAAAUGUC